rnacentral:rRNA from 1 species
CAGUCGCCACGGGAAUACGGAGGGCGCGAGCGUUACCCGGAUUUACUGGGCGUAAAGGGCGUGUAGGCGGCCUGGGGCGUCCCAUGUGAAAGGCCACGGCUCAACCGUGGAGGAGCGUGGGAUAUGCUCAGGCUAGAGGGUGGGAGAGGGUGGUGGAAUUCCCGGAGUAGCGGUGAAAUGCGCAGAUACCGGGAGGAACGCCGAUGGCGAAGGCAGCCACCUGGUCCACUUCUGACGCUGAGGCGCGAAAGCGUGGGGAGCAAACCGGAUUAGAUACCCGAGUAGUCCCUGUCUCUUAUAC